CCGGCCCCAGGCAGGGGUGUUCCUGGCUUCUAUCUUCAGGGAGCCGGAGCAGGUCGGGGUGGCCUGGAGGAGUUGCCAUGUAGCUCGGAUUUCAAGGGGACUUUCUAAGUGAGGCGCUUAGGCAAGACAGUAGGUUCCUUGGCCCAAGUUCUCUCCCCUGAGUUGGACCUGAAGUCCGGUUAACUGCUCAGCAGAGCGUCCACUCUGCGGGAACAGCGUGUCAAAGUCGGAUGUUCUGAGACCGGUUACCUGGUUCCGGGGUUGACUUGGUGAGAUGCACCAAGACUUGGUGAGAUGCAGGACAGCUCUGCAGUUGCCAUACAGCAUGUGGGAUCUUAGUUCCCCGACCAAGGAUCGAAUUCAUGCUUCCUUCAGUGAAAGCACCGAGUCUUAAUCACUGGACCACCAGGGAAUCCUUGCAGUAACUCACGAGGCAUCACUGCUUUCCUAAAUGCAAGAAGCAUAUUACAUGCUGUGCUGUGGCAAACAGGUAUGGCCACAGCAAACCAUCUGCAGAGGGCCAGGGAGCAGGCAUGUUAGGUUUUGUGGGCACACGGUCUGUCUCAGCUGCAGCCCCUCAGCUCUGCCCCUUCUGUGCCGA